CGACCUUUUAAAUGUGGCUUCUCUGAGCGCAAGAGCCAGCAACAGAUGCAAUGAGCUUCUCUUCUCCCAUAUACGUUCCAUGGCCCCUGAUGCAAGGCGAAGAUACAAAGAAAGGAUACGAGGGUAACUCGAAAUGACUUCUCUCCCUUCAAGAACAACGUGUUCCUCAAAGCUAACAGGCUCCCCCUGCAAAGCGUGGCUUCUGUGCUGGCUGCUCCCUCUGCCUUCAGUGCUCCUUCUCCAGACAGCUACUUGGACAUCACUCCUCUCACUCAGGUCUGCUCAGGUGUCACUUUCUGCAGCAGGCCUACCUUGACUGUGCCAUUGAAAACACAGCCCACCCUGUUGCCACCAUUCCCCCCACAUACCAUUGACCCUGCUCCACUUUUUUCCCUAUUGCAUUAUUGCCUAACAUUCUGAAUAACUUAUUCAUUGCGCUUAUUAUCUAUCUCUCCCUG
rnacentral:lncRNA from 1 species